rnacentral:lncRNA from 1 species
GUGUGACAAGUUUAAUUUAGAUCCUAUGAUCUAUUUUUUGAUGGAAUUGAAAUUCAGUGCAUGUGAUGCGUGGGGGCCUUGGAAUGCUGCAUAUGGAUGUACAUUGCCAAAGAUUAAGAUUUUUUGCAUUUGAUGCAUUUACUUAAGAUUCAAGGAUUGACCACCAUGUUAUCAGAAACUCACCAUUGUGGGUCGACCA